CGGUUCGCUUAUUCGUAAACAAACCGCCGGCGCGCGUGGACCGGGGCGCGACUGUAACCGCGAAACUCGCACCCGUCGAGGCGGCGAGCCAGCCUCGUUGGGACCACUGGCCAUGGUUCCAACAGGUACGGCGCGCGCCCCCUGGGAUGCGUCCCCUUUGUGUACGAAAUCAGAAGUACGAACAUGCUUGAACAAAGCCGUGCUUUAUCGUUCCCUAUCGUUAGUCCUUAGUUAACGUAAAGGAGUUGCAGUGGCAAACAGCAGCAGCAGUGACGUUACGUUUAGCGUUUUAAGAGAGCCUAGCAGCAAUCCCGUGUGUGUUGCGCUUAGUGUGUAAGAAGCGCACUGCAAAGCGUUAACUGUUCUAUGUUCCGUAACACUACGCAGUCUUUCCAAGUUCGCCAGGAGCUUUUAAACAGUGCCAAGUGCCGACCGACCAGUAGUGUGUCCCGCCCAAGUGAAGCAUUGAUUGAGCGGGAAACGUGAAGUGCAUCGUGGGAAGGAAUGUUCCCUUCGGGUGUAGUUACUGGACGAACAUGUGAGGGAUGACCAACCCACCGUAGUGAUCGCUCGUAUUAAUCGAUCGUGCCGAUCGGAUGUGCGAAUUUGUGCACCGUCUGCAGAAGCCGUCAUCAAGAUCCACCGGGAUAUCCUCCACCCAUCUUCGGCGUUUGGAGUGAGAGGAGGCUGGUCUGGCAGACUCUCGCGCUCAAAGAAGCCCAUGAAGCGGAUGUACAUCGUUAAUUUGGGAUAUUUUCAACGUUCUGAGCGAAGAAGAAGAAUACAUAAAAGAUAUCGUUUGUGGCAGCAGCAGCAGCAGCACCUAGCACGGAUGGUAAUCGAUUGUUUACGGUGCUACACUGGUGGAUCACCCUGGGGGUUGAUCGGAAGCUAGUGGUCAAAUCGUCGGUUAGAGCCGCCCGCAAUCGUGCCCAAACUGGAGCCCACCAUAGCAAAGACAGGGAACCGUACACCGGGAUUGGGUUUGCUUGCGGACGGAUCGAACGGACGAUCCGAAGCUGACCGAAAACUACUUCAUGGAAGGAGCUGCCACCAGAGAGAAUCUCUUCAGUAUGCUGCAUACGACGAUCGCGGACACACUACUUGGUGGUUCUACAGCACGGCAACAACACUACACUGCGUUAAUCCGCUGCGAGGCUCAUUAGGUUGAAGUUUCAGUAACGGAUCUACUGCAGCUUUCCUCCUAUAAGAACAGCUCUGUUUUACUAAUAUAGCAGCUUUUUUCUCCAUUUCUUCACAACAACAUGUCCUUGGUUGUCCUCGAACAAUUUCAAACAUGACCGUUACAAGUGAUGGAAAAACAAAAAGCGAGGUUUGUUUUUCCAUGCUUACACGCGAAAUGGGAGACUGCCCAUCGAGGACGAUCAGGACCAUUUUAAUUGUAUAGGGGAUAUAGAAUGUAAGCCACAAAUAUUGCUGGUUGAUAAAGAUACGAGUCGGUGAAAUGAAUGUUCACGCUUAAGUUUUCCCUUUUCACCGCGCUCCAAACACCGAAUCCAUUGCAUUAAACUGAUCGAGCCACACCGAGAACAUCCGAUGGAAAAGGGAAAGCUUAAGCGUUUCAUUCUCUUUGCACUCGUUUAAAUCUUUAGCAAUCAUCAAUACAAAAAUAAGGUUUCUCUGUUUUUUUUUUCUCUAGGAUUGAAGUUGAAGUUUGAGCAUGUUAGGCGAUGUUGUAUCAUAGUUUCUAUUGCGUAGCAGUAGUGAGACGCCAGGAGCCAGCUGGCGCCACGUUUUCUUCGGAUGUGUUUUUCGUUUUCCAUAUUUUCCAGCAAAAUGAUGGCUUUUGCUGAAGAAAAGAGAGGCAGGAACAUUCACAAAACAUUUGAUGCGAGGAUAUACUUUAGAAUGUAGAACGCAGCGUACAGCUGAGUUAUUUGCGAUCUUUUUAAAUGCUUAUCCACAAGAUACUACAAUUACUACUAUGCUUUGCUAAAUGGUCGGUGAUAGUGGACGAGGUGUGCACCGAUGAAUGCACACAUUGUUGCACCGAAUGGUGACUAAACAAUCGUUUUUUUUUUUAAUUGUUUGCUGAACAGCAACUACAAAUUAGUGGAUAGAAUGGUAUUAAUUGCCGACAUGUGAGGAGUUAACAACAACAACAACAAAAAAACCGGCAUGCCAAGGAUGGAGCAGAGCCCGUUGAAACACAACACAAAUGAUAAAAAACGGAAGAAUUUCAAACCCCGCAUUUAGAACGUAAGUGUACAUCAAGCUAGAAAAUGAUGUGAAGUAUACACAAAGGCAAAUAAAAGCAUAUAGUUUACAAAACCGGC